GAAAAACUUUGUUCCAAAAGAGCGGUGAUGCAGUGGCACAGGCUGCUCAGGGAGGUGGUGGGGUCAUUGUCCCUGGAGGUGUUCAAGAACUGUGGAGAUAUGGCAGUGAGGGAUGUGAUUGGCGGGCAUGGUGGGAUGGGUUGAUGGUUGGACUGAAUGACCUCAAAGGUCUUUUCCAACCUUAAUGAUUCUGUGAUUUCUAUGAUUCUGUGCCAUUGUCGUGUACCAGCACAACUGAAUUUCAAGUCAGAGACAUAACAAGAGCCAAAAAGAAGUGCCGAAGUGGCCAAGAAUACACUAAAUAACAAAGGCUGCUCCAGCUCAGUUGCAAGACAAGAAGGUCCCAUUUGCACUAAAAGGCAUCAAAUUGCCCCAGAAAAGAAAACCAUACAAACUGAGCCUUCUCUGAAACUCAAGGCACAAAGGUCCUAUGGGGAACCCAACCCUGUCUGGGUGGUGCUCGGCAAGGGGAGCUCUCCUGGGCCGGGCCAUCCCACACAUGACCCAUUCCCACACUCGUGAAUGUCAGCAGAAGAUUUUCAUGAGACUCAGGGAGAGCAGUGAUGUAACUGAACAAUGGGAUCUCCCCCCUUUUUCUGGAAAAAAAUGAGUCUUCAAAUUGAGUAAAAUAUAGAAGUGUUUUCUUCACUUAGACCUCCUACAAGUGAAUUCCUCUGGUGCUGGUGAUGGGCUCCUAUUCUCCCUGGGAAAUACAUCAAUUUGAUUUUCUCCCUCAAAGGAUUAGUCACUGAAAGACAACACCACCCUCUUCCCCCUGGCUUUUCAGUUGCCUCCAGGAGGACAGAAGAGGAAAUGGUUCAUUUUGAAGAUGUGCCAUGAUAGGCAAUUCGAGCUUGCUUAUCUUUUCACACAUGCCAGCUUGGAUAACCUGGGUGGAAAACUGAAGUGAAGCAAAGACCUCAGCCUCUCACAGCUCUGGCAGCAGUCACCAGUGCCCUGCUGGAGCUGAGCUCUUGGGGAACACCUUGACCCCAGACUAAGGACUGGAGGUGACUGCUACACUGCUGUUUUAGGGAUCUUGAGAACUGUAAGUGCUCUAUUUCCUAGAGCAAACAAAAAAUGCUGCUCCUGUCUGCCCUUCAGAGGCACCCAGGAGGCAUCCAAGUCAGCCCCUAGUUUUGGGAAUGAGUUUGCCCUGUUCCCUGGGAUAUGAUGGUCUGCCACUCAGGAGGAGUUCACAGAGCACGCCAUAUUCCUGACUGCCCAGUAGUAUUCUAUCAGCUCAAUAUAGGCCUGAUGUUGUAUUAAGGAGAAAAGCUUUCCGGCCAGCAGUAGUGAUGCGUGAAGUUUCCUCAUUGACGGACCACAGAAUGCUUUGGGGCUGUUGGAAGAUGGGUUUUGUAUGCAGCACAUUUUGCAUCUCGGUGUUGUUCUCCAGAGCUGUUUGCUAGCAAAUUGCCAGGAUUUGAAAUUCAGGUAGGUUGCAGGAUGAAAAAAUAUCCUUCCCCACAUUGCUAUGACCUUUUUGGUGGUUUAUUUGUUAAAGGCAUUACUGUUCCCCUCGGGAAUGGUGCCUUCCUCUGUUUUAUGCUCUAAGGAUGUGGCUCUUUUCAUGUUUAUCUUUGAUUCAAGCAUUGUAAAGAGCAAUCCCUCGCACUUAUGUGCUUCAUUGUAUUCUGGCCAUGAGAGAUUCUCCCCCACUGUUUGUAGCCUUUUUUCAGUGCAGCUAGUAAAAUAUUUGAACAGAAAAAAGAAAAGAAAAAAAAAAAAAAGAAAAAAGGAAAGAAAAAAAAGAAAGAAAGAAAAGAAAAAGAGACACUAAACAGCUUCCAGCAUUUAGAGGAUAAAAUGAGAUGUAAGGAAAAGGAUGACUGUGGUUAAUGCACAGGGCUGGGAGGCCUCAGAUGGACCACGGCCUCUCUUCGUUUCUCUUCUCACAUCCUCUGUGACUUUGUCUAAGUUAUUUGACCUCCUCCUGCUGUAGCUCUGGGGUGUUAAACACACGCUGUGUUUUCUGCUUGGAAAACCCAAGCUUGCUGUCCCCAGAGAGCUCAGCGCUGCCCCUCUGCUCCCUAUGAGGAGCUGUAUGGCCAUGAGCCCUCAGCAUCCUCUGCUCUGCUCCCAGCAAACCCAGGGCCCUCAGCUGCCCCUCACACCCCUUGUCCUCCCAUGUGAAUGCCUGUCAGCAUGUGAUACAGCCUGGUUUUCUUCCCUGAUUUCAGAUGACACAUGGAAGCUGAUUUGCACAGGGUGGAUGCAAACCAAGGGCUCAUCCACUGAAAAAUAAUUAAGCUUCACUUGGUUACAGCAGGCAAGCUGGAAUACAAAGAUCCUAAGGCUGGUUAUGGGAGGGUGGUUAAGGGGACACCUCCAGUGGGCAAGGGUCUGUUGUAGUCCAGAUAAGCCCUCACAAUUCAGAGUUUUCUUAAAUUUCUGGGGCAUAAUGGCACAGCUGGCGACAGAGCACCAAGUGAAUAUUUGACAUAAAUAAACCAGUGUUCCUACGUGGGAGAAGGGCAGAGGGAGCCUGUGAAUUAAUGAUCAGCUUUUAAUUUGUCCUUUCAUUGGAAUCAAUGAAAAUGUCAGGAUGAUUGAGGUUUAUGUGCUCAUGGGAAAGAUGUGAGCCCAAGAGAAAGAGAUCAAGGCUAUUUUUUAAUAUAUUUGUUUCACUGAGGAAGAUGCUUCCCUUCAUCUCUAAUACCGGAGAAGGAUUUGCUGUGGGUGAAUUCCUGAGAAAGCCUGGGCAGUGUGUAUUGGAACGGGCUGCCCAGGGAGAUGGUGGAGUCACCGUCCCUGGAGGUGCUCAAGAACUGUGGAGACGUAGCACAGGAAGGGAUGUGGUCAAUGGGCAUGGUGGGAUGGGUUGACAGUUGGACUAGAAGACCUUAAAGGUCUUUUCCAACCUUUACAAUUCUAUAAUUCUGUAAUUCAUUCAAGUCUCAGCAGAGACCUGCCACCCUCAAGCUGUGGGCUGCUGGUUGUCCUUGGGCACAGGGUUCAGCCUACCUGGUGCUGGUUUUUCUG
ensembl:lncRNA